CGUCGAACGGCUGCUGACGGCCUUUAGAAAUAGAGUUUUCCGCAAGGGACAGUAGUCGAGGUGCUGCAUGGCUGUCGUCAGCUCGUGUCGUGAGAUGUUGGGUUAAGUCCCGCAACGAGCGCAACCCUUGUCCUGUGUUGCAACUUACAGGCACUCUCAGGAGACCGCCAGCGAUAAGCUGGAGGAAGGUGGGGAUGACGUCAAGUCAUCAUGGCCUUUAUGUCCAGGGCUACACACGUGCUACAAUGGACGGUACAAACCGUCGCAAACCCGCGAGGGGGAGCAAAUCGGAAAAAACCGUUCUCAGUUCGGAUUGCAGGCUGCAACCCGCCUGCAUGAAGCUGGAAUCGCUAGUAAUGGUGUAUCAGAACGAUACCGUGAAUACGUUCCCGGGCCUUGUACACACCGCCCGUCACAUCACGAAAGUGGGUUGUACUAGAAGUCUGCGCGCCAACCGCAAGGAGGCAGCGGCCCAAGGUAUGACUCAUGAUUGGGGUGAAGUCGUAACAAGGUAGGCGUAGCGAG
rnacentral:rRNA from 1 species